GCGCCCGUAGCUCAGCUGGAUAGAGUACCGGUUUCCGGAACCGGGUGUCGGAGGUUCGAAUCCUCUCGGGCGUACCA
rnacentral:tRNA from 4 species